CUCAUAAACAUGAUACAACCACCACAAUUGAAUAUAUAAACAUCCAUACAUUCAUACAUUCAAGCAUUCGUAUACCAUUUACAUUCAAAUUCACUUUUAGAGUUUUAAUCAUAAAUUCAAAACUAUUGGUUUUAAAAUGUUUCCUACCCAGAAACUCCUUUUGAAAUACUAAUUAAUGAAAACCACGAAAAAACCUUUUCAAAACCGUUUCCGACACGGAAACCCUUUUUCUUUAAAAUACGCUACCACGAAGGGUAGAAAGCUGUUUUCGUCUCAAGAAAAACCAUAAGUUCUUUAAUUCAGUUACCAAAAUCACGUUUAUCCAAGUAAACAAAAUCAACUGAACCAAUAUGUCUAAGUUAUAUCAACAGAAAUAAAAA
rnacentral:lncRNA from 1 species